CAGCUUGACGAAUUCAUAAUUACAGCAAUUUUGCAAAAAAUGGCAGCGAAUACCUCACCAACAACGAGCGGAUGUAUUGAACAAAAUUCAUGUGGCUUAAUUGCCAUUGCAACGCCCGCAAAUCCUUUAAACUCAACUCUAGCCGUUCCUAAUCCUACGCAAGAUUUUGGAUUUAUAAGUGGUGCAACAGACAACAGCUGAAGCGUAAUUUUGGUAAAGCGGAAAAAGCGAUUAAGCGGAAAGGUGCGAAAGGAAGAGCAGUGAAAAGUGAAUGGCAAGCAACAGCUGGCAAGUCAAUAUAAAAAAAAAAACACAAAAAGGCAUAUAAAAUCAGAGGUGUCUUGCUGCGUUGCAGGUUGCAUGCGUUUGUUUGGUGGCAUCCACGGCAAGUAACAAGCACAACUGUACCGCUACAUGGCAUCCUGUCAACAUAUACAAUCACGCUUGGCAGCAAGGAUCAACAGAUGGGUGCCAUAACAAGAAGGAGCUGGCUAAAAGCGUGCAGUGCGGCGCAUUGUGAGAGCAAAAACAAACGGCGAACGCAGAAAAUAUUUACGUUGACUUUUUGCGUGUGGCCUUUUUAGUGAACAACUCUAUUUAAAAAGUGCGCAUACAAUGGAUGGAAAAUAUAAAAACCCAUAAAUUAUAGAAUGUAAGAAA